rnacentral:snoRNA from 14 species
AGCGUCAGCAUUGCAGGUGUGCCUUUUGUGUCACAUGUAAGUGUCAUAGAAGACAGAGGUUAUAUCUACGACGAUGCCAAGUGUUCUGAGCUAUCAAUAACUGAAUGAAGGGUAACCUAACAUU